CCACAAAAGAAGUGUAAAUGGCCGGUCCUUGCCUUAAGUGAUGACAUUACCUUGUGAAAGUCCUUUUCCUAGCUCAUCCUGGCUCAAAAAGCACCCCCACUGAGCACCUUGCGACACCCACUCCUGCCCGCCAGAGAACAAACUCCCUUUAACUGUAAUUUUCCUUUACCUACCCAAAUCCUAUAAAACGGCCCCACCCCUAUCUCCCUUCGCUGACUCUCUUUUCGGACUCAGCCCACCUGCACCCAGGUGAAAUAGCUAUAUUGCUCACACAAAGCCUGUUUGAUGGUCUCUUCUCACGGACGCGCAUGAAAGAAAGAAAAGAAAGAGAAAUUGAAAGAGAGGAAGGAAGGAUGGACGGAAGGAAGGACUAUCUCUGUUGCUGGCCUUGAUUGCUCAAGAUGGCAGAAACUAGGACAGCUGACAACUCCUUGACUUACAUUCUCAUGGAUUCAUCAACCAGAUAAAGAUCUUUCUUUGGGGGUCAAAUUUGAAAAAUCUGGAGAAGGACUUCAACUGGCUCCACUUGAGUCAUGUGGCUAUCUCUGGAUGGACCACUGUAAGGGUUUAGGGUACUAUGAUUGGCUCAGACUGAGGUAACUGCUGAUUUCCUAACCAAGCAUUCUGAUGAGAAAGACCAAGUUAUAUAAGAAGAAAGAGGAUGCUUUUAGAAUAUAAAUUAAAACCAGAAGCAAAAGAGAUUUUUUAUAAAAAGAAAUAAAUAGUAUAAACAAGGCUACUGAACCAUUUAAAACUAAAAAUCCAUUCUUAUUUAUUUUUCCGAUAGUGAAUAUUAAAGAAAAAUAUUUUAAAUUCUCGAAGCCUGUGUCUAGCUGAGACAACAAAUUCAUAAAGCAUUUAUUUCCAUCUCUAAACUUCUUAUUUACUAAGAAUCUGAAUAUUUUAUACCACCAGAAGUUGAUCAGGCUUUUUUACUCGUGUUAUGAAAGAAGAAAACAGUUGUUCCUAUAAUCAUAAAAUUGCUCAGUUCAAAUAGAGAGAUGAACCCACUGGGGACAUCACUAAGUCCCUUCUUACGUGCAUAUUGUAACAUUGUUACACUGUUGGAUUCCUCUUCAUAAGUUGGGUUACAUUCACUGCAGAUGGUACAUCUGACUUUAGAGCAGGUGUUGUAGCAGGCCUGGCCCACAGCAUCCUGAUGCUUAUCACCUGGACAGUUUCCAGCCACAGAUUGGUCUUCGAGUUGUUGAGGAGAUUGUCAGAGAGAUUGAUAGUGUGAGCCAUACUGGAAUUACCCAUGAUAAAUGACACGAUUUCCUCCACUCUUCUCAAAAGACAAGCUGUGAAUCACAAGACUAUUCAGCUAAACUUGAUGAGUACCUCUUUCCACGUGGAAGUUGCCUAAAAACACAUUUACAUCCAGACUUGGGUCACCUGCACAAAUCAGAGCAUUUAAGAUCCAAUGACUCACUCUUGGAAUAUGGAAAUCAACUAACUGAGUAUAAGAUUUGUAGACCUAAAAGAUAGCUUUGGGUCUCAUUCUGUCACCCAGCAGGCUGAAGUACAGUGGGGCAACCAUGGCUCACUGCGGCCUCAACCUCCCUGGCUCAAGCAAUUCUCCAAAGGAGAAGCUCCUUAGAGAAAGGAUUGAUCCCUCAAGAAUGAAGAGGAGAUGACUGAGCAGAGAUAAGGGAGGUAAAGUUUGCAGAUGAAGACAAUACAGAAGUUAAAAAGCAACAAAAGAAACAGUUCUGCUGAUAUUUUUACACUACUGGAUCCAACCAAGCCUUUAGUUAACUUUCUCAUUAAUGUUUUAGAUAUGUGAGCUAAUAAAUUUUGAGUUUCAUGCCU